AGCUUCAUUGCACAGUUGAUUCAUCGUUAUCUGGUGAUCACCUAUGAUACCCAGCAUUCUGUCUGCCUGAGUCAUCUCUCUUCUCACUUAGAGAAGAAAUGUCUCAUUAACCCUGAAGUGCAUGCCCUCAGUUGUCUUCUAAUCAAACACUAUUUCCCAUUUAUGUACCUGUCCAAGUCAAAAAGGUUUUAAUAUACAAUUGUUGUCUUCUGUAUUAGCUGUGUUCCUUCAUUUUCAGAUUUCAAUAGCACACCUAUCAUAUUCAUAUUCCACUGCAGGUAAUGAAAAUAUUACCAGCACUGGUCCCAAAAGAGACCCUUGAGUAACUUUUGCGGUUACUUGCUUCUUGGCUCUUGAUUCUUCUUCCCUUUUCUCUGCUCUUUUCUAUCAGUCAAUUCCUUCCUGCCUUUCAUGUCCUCUGUAAUCUCCAAAUUCUUUUGCUUCAUUAAUAUUUGGCCAUUUAGGAGUGUAUCAAGUGCUUUACUAAGGUCCAAAUGAGAUUUACCACAUUUUCAAUUUUGGAAAAUCCAUUAUCUCAUUAAGGGAAAGCUAUCAGAUUAUUCUAGCACUGUGCUCCCCUGGUAAACAUGGGCUCCUUUCAUCUUGUUUUCAGUUCAACUAACAAGAAUAAUGCAAUCAUUCUUUCUCCUUUAGUAAUUACACUAUAUGUAGAAAUACAGGGAAAUAAAAACUGAAAUCCCAUUUUCUUCCAUGUGGGGCAUGUUUAAAUGUGAUAUGUCUGAUAUAUUUUUACAUUUGCAGGCAGUAUCUAUACACAUACUUAAGUGUGCAUGUUCAACAAUUUCCAAGCUGCAAUGAGCUUUCUAGUAUGAAUAAGUAUUUUAACUUUUCCACACAAUAACAGAUCUUUUUUUUUUUUUUUUUUUUUUGCUUAUUAAUUUUAAGACCUUGAGAUAUUUUCAUCCUGCUCUACUGCAGUCCUUCCUGAAGCCCGCUAACAGCUGAAAAGACAACCCUGGUGUGCAGGAUGAUUUUAUCCAGCACUCAGAUUGUUUCCUGCUGUCAGAUAUCAUUAGAAAGUUUAAGUGCAGUCUAGAUGUUGGAUAAUUGCUAUGAUGAAGUUUGGCCAUCAGUGUAAAAAGCAGGUUGUUAUAGUGAAUGGAAAAUGUCCAUUCUCCGCCUGUUUUAACAGAGCCUGGUCCUUAGCAAAAGAAACAUCAUCAAACAACAAGGGGUUCAUUAAUGCAUGUCUUCCUGUUUACUCUUUCUUCUCUGAUGCAGUAGUGCACACUGUUGUAAAACACAGCUUUUCUGUGAAAGAGGGUGAUAGGGACUGAGACAGCCCAACAAUUUCCCUGCCAACCCAAAGGGACAGGUUUCAUAAUUUUUCUCCUGCUCCAUUUACAUCCCUACACUGCUCUCAACUGGAUGAUCCCUGGCUUCGUUCUGGCCCUGGCAGUCAUUGAGCCCUUUGCCAAGCCAGUUCACCUCCCUUAUGGGACAGGCAACUGUUUGCUUUCCAUGCUGUCCGACUCUGUGACCAGACUCCAAAAAUUAUGCUCCUACACGUAAAUAAGAGAGGCUAUCAGUCCCAGAUGCAUCUGGGUCACGGACAACUUACUGACAGUAUAUCACCACUAGCAGUCCACUGGUUCACCAGGACAUUUUAGAACUUUAACAAUCUUUAAAACAUCCUGUUUUUUUUCAGAUUAAAGGUAAGAAACAUCAAGCUCUGAAUGCUGCAUAAGUGUAGUUUUGCUCUUCACUAUAUCUAACUAGCUUUGAACAACAACAAAAUUGUGCCAGUGAAUUAGAAGGUGGCCAAGGUGGAUAAACAGCAUGGAUUACUUUGCUUGAAAAUUGGAUUGUUGAUGAAGGAAAGAAAACAACAGCCAAAAGUGUAUUGAUUUUGCAAACAUCACUUACAGGUACACAUUUAACUUGUGAACUUUGGUCUGAAUAGGUAAGAAGCUCUUGACUAUCAGAGAUACUGAUCUGAAUAAGCAGGAUGUACAUUUUGGGUUCAACACAUCCCCUUGCAGACACCCACCUCAACACAAUCGUGCAUCUUGUUUAGUUUCAUCUGAUACUGUCUACCUUCCUCUCUAUCAGAAUCCACAUGCAGCAGAAUGAGCUUCAGUAAAAUCAAUGGGAAAGUGACACAAAUGAAAAGGCCAGUGUAUUCUUUGAAAUCAUGGAAUGGCUUGGGUUGGAAAGGAUCAUAAAGAUCCUCUACUAACAUCCAACCCCUAGCUAAUCAGAAUUGUAUGGGAAGUGCUGAGUCACAGCCUGAACCACUGAUUGAUCACCUGAGGCAAGCACGGAGUCAGCCAUGGAGCACAAGU